CCAUCGGAGUCUAGGUCAGAUUCGAUUUCGGGUCCGAUGUAGUUUCCGAACUCAUCAUACAAGCUGUCAUCCAUGGUGGAGAGAGAGAGAGAGAGAGAGAGAGAGUAGAACCGGAGAAGAGAGAGUGUGGUUUUGAGCAGUGAGGGUUUUAGGGUAUGAAAUGAGAGCUCAACACACACCAGAGAGGGAAAUUGAAAGGGAAGACGAGAUUUACACUGAAUGGGCUAGGCCCAAUACAUGUAUGGAUGAUAUAUGACCCGUUUGAAUUGACUUAUUUUUGAGUUUAUGCAAAUAAAUACGUUUUCAUGUUUAUUUAUAAAUUUUCAUUAAAGAUAAUUGUAUUUUCAUAAGUUGUUUUUUCAUAAAAUACUUUGAUAAACUUAUGAAUGAUUUAUAAAAAUUUAUUUAUUUAUAUAAGUUAUUUUGCAUUAACUCAGAAGAGUGUCGAUUCAAACGGGCACUCUUACACUUACCAACCCUAAAAAAUAUCAAUUAUAACUCUUUUCAAAAUCAUACUCAUUCAUUCAGGCCACCUUUUUUGAAAUUGAAAAAGCGAUAAGUUUUUUUAAAUUAACUACCAUAUCGAAAGCGCUUAGGGAGCAUUUGCCUUUUUCUGUAGGGAAAUAUAUUAUAUAUAUUUGUACGCAUCUUUAACACGUUGAGAACAAAAUAACUAAAGAGAAUAAUUUGAUAGAUGUGAUAUGUUAGUGAUAAAUUUUUCUUUUUUUUUUUGCAAAAUGUUAGUGAUAAGUUAUGGAUCUAGGACUAUAGAUUUGAAGCUCAUAUGUGCAAUUUUUGUAUUUUUUUAAUCAAAUGUGUAAAAUUUCAAAAUUGUUAAUCAUUAUUUAUAUAAUUGAACAUGUAUUUCUCACUAUUUGUAUUCUAUCUAAAUGAUUUCAUAUCUAUAUGUGUAAAAAAAAACAAAUAUGUGAGUUAGGUUCCGAUACUUCGUAAGAUACUCUUAAAUUACCCGCAAACAAAAUUCUUACACAUAUAUAUAUGUAGAAUAUUAGUCAAUUCAUUAUCAACUAAAUCUACAUGAAAUGACAAUCAUUUCAUUAUUUUAAAUCAAAUCAACUUUAUUUCGUUAAUAAAAAAUUGAAUAAUUUAGAGAAUAUGCAAUGACCAAAUAUUAUUUAAAUCGUAAAGCCAUUAAAAGAAAUAAAUAUACUUAGAGAUCUUGGCUAUGUGGUAAGAGUUUAAUCUUCUAAUAUUAAGGUAUAUAGUUUAAAUUUUAUGGUUGCAAAAUGAUCAUCACUCCAAUCCAAUAAGCCCAUUUAGCGUUAAUAAGGGUAGCCACAUCCCUGACAAUUGAUUAGGAUAAGAUGAUAUAACCAUCAUUUUCUAUUAAAAAAAAAAAACAUUUGAUGUGAACAUAUUUUAAAAUCAUAUGUAUAUGACUCGUCCUCUUUUUGGCAGAUACAUGAACUUGCUAUAAAAUUAAACUUCAUUUUAUUUUCAUAAAAAAAAUUGAACACAAAUAUCCUCUUAAAAGUUUGAUUGUACAUGUAUUUAUCAUCCAAUAAAUUAUGAGUCGUUACAUCUAGUUAAUCACACGAUUUAAACUUCAAAAUUAAAAAAAAAAAAAAAAAAUUAAAAAAUAAAAGAAGUUCACGUGACCCCUUGACUUGAUCCCAAAUUCUUCUCUUCCAACACUAACCACCACCACGCAGAUAGGAUGCAAAGGUAAAUAAGAUCUCUUACGUGAACGUGAUUCGUUAUUACUACUGACCUUUGAUAGAUAUAUCCAACAACUCGCUCAUAUCUGGAUAUUGAUCUUGAUCCAACGUACAUAUAGAAAACAUUUAUCUUUGUUUAUUGUUCUAGCAGCAUGCAUGAUACAUAAACACCAUGAGUAAGUAGCAUAAUAACCACACAAUAAUAUAUAGAAAUGGCAUAAUAACCACACACUUAAUAUAUAGUAAAAAUACAUAUAGGGAGAAGGGGAAACUAUAUAAAUUUAUUCGAUUCACCAAUACACUACCCAUAGUCCCAUAUAGAUCAGGAAAAGUUAUUAGUAAUAUUCACCAUACAACCACAUAUUCAUAUGCAAUCAGCGAUGGUGAUGGUGAUGGUGUGGAGGGUGACCAUGUGGCCCAGGAGGACUACCAAGUGGAGGUGGCUGAGAACCAGGUGGAGGUGUUGGGCCUUGUGGCGGGUUAGGAGGUGGAUGAACAUGCGGCGGAUGAGCUGGUCCGGGAGGAUGUGGACCCGGUGGUCCAGGAUGGUGAGAACCCGAGCCUGCCGGUGGAGGUGGAUUGCGCAUAUUUCUCGCAAUAGUAGCUUUCUUCGUUUUUCAGCGAUGAGACGAACCACACUUGUUUUUACCUUAUGGAAAUAUAAUUGGUGAACCAAUGAAUCAAAACAACGACUAUAUUUGUAGGACUCAAGAGAAAACUCUAGUCUUUUACUAUCUAUCGGUCAAACCACAAGUAGUUGGGUAACUAACAUUCAUACAUAUAUCAUGAUGGUUAAAAAAAGCUUUAACAUGUCACCUGGUCAUGCGUGUAGUAACA
rnacentral:lncRNA from 1 species